rnacentral:rRNA from 1 species
CAGUCGCCGCGGGAAUACGAAGGGGGCUAGCGUUGUUCGGAUUUACCGGGCGUAAAGGGCGCGUAGGCGGACUGAUAAGUCAGGGGUGAAAUCCCAAGGUUCAACCUUGGAACUGCCUUUGAUACUGUUUGUCUUGAGUUCGAGAGAGGUAAGUGGAACUGCGAGUGUAGAGGUGAAAUUCGUAGAUAUUCGCAAGAACACCAGUGGCGAAGGCGGCUUACUGGCUCGAAACUGACGCUGAGGCGCGAAAGCGUGGGGAGCAAACAGGAUUAGAUACCCCCGUAGUCCCUGUCUCUUAUAC